rnacentral:rRNA from 1 species
UGCCAGCCGCCGCGGUAAUACUGAGGGUGCAAGCGUUGCUCGGAAUCACUGGGCGUAAAGCGUACGCAGGCGGUUUGUUAAGUUGGAUGUGAAAGCCCAGGGCUCAACCCUGGAACUGCAUUCAAAACUGGCAAACUUGAGUACGAGAGAGGAGAGCGGAAUUCCUGGUGUAGAGGUGAAAUUCGUAGAUAUCAGGAGGAACACCCGUGGCGAAAGCGGCUCUCUGGCUCGAUACUGACGCUCAUGUACGAAAGCGUGGGGAGCAAACAGGAUUAGAUA